UGCUCCUUUGAUGUCAACCCUCUUUGGUCUUUGCAUGUUAUAUAUGGUUCUAUGUCUUUGUGUCACUCUCGGUUCUAAGAUUUCACUUGUUAGUUCAGUCACUUGAUGUCAACACCCAAGGGUAAUUUUUUGUUCAGCUUUAUCUUUAUACAUUAUAUUACUAUACAUCUUUUAUAUGACAUACUACUCGUUUAGCUCAUCUCUGUAUUUGUUAAGUUGUACGACAGGAUUGAAAAUAACUGGUAAAAGCUGCAUAGUAGCAAUACUUUUUUACUGAUUCCUUUUGUAGAUAUAAAUUAUCGAAGAAAAAUAUUAAACAUUUUGUCCAAUGUGUAAACAUCAUUGAAUCUAAAUAUCAGCAAGAAAAUCACUUCUGCAUAGUACAAAUUGGUUUCGAUAAAUUACAAAACUAAAACAAGC
rnacentral:lncRNA from 1 species